CCUACGGGUGACAGCAGUGAGGAAUAUUGGUCAAUGGGCGAGAGCCUGAACCAGCCAAGUCGCGUGAAGGAUGACUGAUCUAUGGGUUGUAAACUUCUUUUAUAUGGGAAUAAAAUGUUGGACGCGUGGGGUUUUGCAUGUACCAUAUGAAUAAGGAUCGGCUAACUCCGUGCCAGCAGCCGCGGUAAUACGGAGGAUCCGAGCGUUAUCCGGAUUUAUUGGGUUUAAAGGGAGCGUAGGCGGCUUUUUAAGUCAGUGGGGAAAGUUUGCGGCUCAACCGUGAAAUUGCAGUUGAAAUGGGCAGUCUUGAGUAUAUUAGAGGCGGGCGGAAUUCGUGGUGUAGCGGUGAAAUGCUUAGAUAUCACGCAGAACCCCGAUUGCGAAGGCAGCCCACUAGGCUACGACUGACACUGAGGCACGAAAGUGUGGGGAUCAAACAGGAUUAGAUACCCGUGUAGUC
rnacentral:rRNA from 1 species